GAGCCGCGGUCCGGGCGGCCGGGGGCGGGACUUCCGGUCUCCGCGGGCGGCCGCGGCCCGCUCACCUGCGCGGCGCGGAGGAUGCCGGGAGAGCUAGGCCGGACGGUCCUUGGGAGCCUUUAAUUAAGAGGAUAAGAAGAAGAAGAAUAAUGGUGUCAGGUGGUCUCCGAUCCAUAGAGACUCCAGGGAUUCAUCUCUGGCAGAACGCCCCGCCUCCACCGGAAACCGUUCCGAGAGAGGAUCCAAAGAGUUCGCUUGGUGAAAAUCCACCUUCUUCCGGGCAGUAAACCCAUUGUUUUCUUCCACGCGCUAAACCUGAGUCUCCGCCGUCGACUCUCUCCCGGGCCGCUGCUGCCCAGCAUGGCCAUCAUCCGGUGAGGACUGCCCGGAUUUGCAGAGCUCCACCAACCAAGACAUUUUUACUGAUUUGUGUCCCAGUCCUCACAAAAGAGAGCCCUGAGGAGAAAGUUCUGUGAGGGGAUGCCUGGGGUCUUUUUCUUUUUUUAAAGAGCAAGAUUGUGCUCUCGUGUUCUAGAGUUUGUGGUGAUGGGCAACAUCCAUAUCAUGUGACUAGUCACUCGCCAUAUCUGCCUACCUAACCUGCACGGUGUUUUUCAUUUCUGAAUCCUUUUAAAAAUCAACAUAUGUUUUUAUUCUAUGUCAGGCAAACUACUUUUAGUGCAUUUGGCUAACCACGUAUGUUAGUGUUCAGAUGACUAUCCUACCAGAUGUCUGCUUUGAAGGGGUAAUGGAUCAUCGAUAGCAUAUGAUGGUCACAUUUAUUUAUUCCUGUGGGCUCUCAGAGCUUUCUGACCUUUUUCUCUCUGUCACCAGAUUAUUUUUCUCUUCAGUCAGCUAAACGUCCGUAUUCCCACCCGCACUCAAAAGAGAUACAGGCAUACCCCAGUUUCAAAAGACCACAAAACAUAAAACCCAGAGAUAUGUCAUGCGCUAAUUGACAUAAUCAAAUGGAACCUACUGAUGACAUGUAAGCCUGUGGAAAAAGUACCCCGAGAUACCACCACUCAAGAUACAUCCACAUUUUGCAGGGACAAACUACAGAUCUCCCUUGGGAUUUGGUACCUUCUUCCUGAACCUCAACAAGGCCUGGCUGAGCAAAUAUUGCCGAAAGGAGAGGCCUAAAGAAUAGCGUGGUGCCUGACUCUUCAACUCCUACCGCUUCGCCUCCACUGCCCCUGCCCAACUAGGAAGAGGGUAGGAGCAGGAAGAGCAAGAGAGGAGAAGUGAAGCAGAGGGUGGGGUGGACCCUUCUCCCCUGGUCACCGACAAAGAUGCACAGUUGGGUAACAAUGGCAAGGAUAAAUGGCGAGGAGGGGGGGAAGGGGCGGGUCAAGGGUCAGGAAUUGUAAACAGAUGCAAAAAUAGGCCUAGCACGCCCUUCUCUCUGUGAAGCUCCCAUCAAAUGAGUUGGCAAUUUCCUCCCCACCCAUUCCACUCACACCCUUCUCGGCACAAAUUUGUGAAAACAAAAUGCUCGUUUCUGGAGCACAUGUUUAUUUCUUGAUUUUGGGCUUGGCUCUUGCGGUUGUGUCACAUCUUGGAAUGUUGUACUGCUCUACGGAAACACCCUCCCAGGCCAGGCUUGAAUCUUACCACGUCUGUGAUAGGAUUAUUUCCUUAGGUAUCCCCUUCUUCUCCAAUUUUCUUUCUCCAUCCCCUACUUACCCCAUCAUUUUAUUUCUCCUUUCUCUCCCUCAUCUCGAUGUCUGCCCCUUCCCUGUAAAAAUCAGUUUCCCAUACGGGGCAAACUGCUCUAUGGAAACACCCUCCCAGGCCGAGCUUAAAUCUUACCACGUCUGUUAUAGGAUUAUUUCCUUAGGUAUCCCCUUCUCCAAUUUUCCUUCUCCAUCCCCUACUUACCCCAUCAUUUUAUUUCUCCCGUCUCUCCCUCAUCUCGAUGCCUGCCCCUUCCCUGUAAAAAUCAGUUUCCCAAACGGUGCAAAUUCACACGCUACAUCUACAAAGCAAAUACCUUUGAAAACUCCCCAAACAUAAAUGAACAUAUACUGCAGGGUCACACAAAGGAAUAUCAUGCAUGAAGCGAAUGGUUCAAACUUGCUCUUUCUCUUGUGUUCACGGCACUUAGUUCCACAGUGCUCUUCCUCCUCCUCCUCCCUCCUCCCGUUGCUACCUGCAUCCCCCGUCCUACAGUGCUCCCCAUUUUGCCGAAUCCAGCAGCCUCCCGGUCUCUAAGGGGCAAAAUUUCCGGUGUCCGGCCUGGCCCAAAUCGAACAGGAGAAGUGUGGAACUGUGACAAGCCUGAAGUGUGUAUCAGGGCACACCGCCGUUUCUGGGUCGUCGCUAGGACUGCGGACAUCACGUGCAUGAGAUGGUUAAUGACCGGAUCUUUGUGGGCCGGGGCUUCGUCAUAGAGUAGUUCCAGAAACUCAGAGUGAGAAGCCGAUCGCUUGCUUGGGCUCAGAACAUCUGGCGUAUUUGGAUUUCCACACAUUUCUGGAAAGUUGAUGGAUGGGGACGGCAGAGAAUCUGUGCCCUGCUCUCGUCCCCUUGGUGCGGUCGUAUUUAUUAAGCGCUUCCUGGGGGUGCAGUAAGUGCUUACUUUCAGUAUCCUAGGCAACCAACUACUUCACAUGCCCUUUAGGUGGUCAAUAUAAGGACACCCGGGGAAACUGUUGGGAGAGGGAAUGUGUCUACCGACUCCGUUGUUCUGUAGCCUCCCAAACGCUUAGGACAGUUCUCUGCACAAAGUGAGUGCUCAACAAAUACCAUCGAUUGAUUAAUCGAUUGACUUGGGACAGCCCUACCAAACCAGCGAAGGGCCUGAAAAUUGUUUUUAGACUCUAAAGUAUGGCCGCUGUUAUUAAUGUUGUCUAUGGUUUCUUUUUUGCUGCGUUUAUCAUGUGAUUCUUGCCUUGUGUCAAUCGUUCAUUUCCUUUUAAGACUGUGAGCCUCUUUACUACGGCCAGAGAUUUUGUCUGAGUUGUUAUCCUUGAACCUUUUCCCCAAGACAAUACGGCGAUAUGCCUAAAGUGCCUAUAAAUGCAAUAAAUAAUACCAGCGAUAAUGUGAAUCCAA